rnacentral:tRNA from 1 species
UCCUCGGCAGCUCAGCGGUAGAGCGGGUGGCUGUUAACCACUAGGUCGGGGGUUCGAAUCCCUCCCGGGGAG